CAGCCCGGUAGCUCGUCAGGCUCAUAACCUGAAGGUCACAGGUUCAAAUCCUGUCCCCGCAA
rnacentral:tRNA from 1 species